rnacentral:tRNA from 1 species
GGGUGGGUUGGCUCAGUGGUUAGAGCUUAGGUCUUGUGACCGGAAGGUCCCGAGAUCGAAUCUCGUCAGAGGCA